AUAGAACAGAACUGAUUGAAGUCAACAGAAGGUUAUUAGGCUGACCUGGGCCUCUGGUGUCACACCAGGUUUUACAAAACUGAGUGGGUGGACCACAUGGUUAGCAUGACCUUCUCUUGGUUCUACUGACCUCUUUUGAGGGUGUUGGCCCACUACUAAUUGAUGUUGGCCCCAUGCAUUGGGCUUUCAUGGAUUGUUGUAGAUCCAUGUUCUUUCUCAGAGGUGUGGACACUAAUUGGUGUCAGGCCAAGCAAACAAUUUAUUCUUCCCCGAAUUAACGCUUUAUGGUGUGUGCAGCAGCCUUAUAUGUAUGAAGAUGCAUUUUAUUAAGUCUUCAUGGGUAUCUGGGACCUGGUAGAGUUAGUGGGACUUGGUAGUAGGAAUGGGAGAAAGGAGAAGCAUGAUCUUACUAUGCAGACUGUAUUUCCAGAAACCUGCUCAGCCAGCCCCUGAUGGAGAACACAUGUAGGAAGAAGUUGGUCCCACUGAAGCAGGAGAGCAAGGAGGUACAUCUUGAUUGUGCACUGAACCAGAAAUAUUUGGUUGACUUCAACAAGAAAGAUAAAGACCAUCAAGGGCCAGACCCAGCAUCAUCUGGUCUCAGAAAGUGCAAGAGAGCUGGAAUUGGACACAUCCCAGUAAGAGAGCUUCCUGAAGAAUAAGUUGCUUUCUCAGGAGUCCCUGAUGACAAACAUCCUGAAUGAAAACAGCACUUGAGAGACAACUUGGGGGACCGCCUUUCAUUAUGUGUGCUAGAGGAGGAACAGCAAUACGUCUGUGC